AGUCGUAACAAGGUUUCCGUAGGUGAACCUGCGGAAGGAUCAUUAACACUUUUUUUUAAAAUAAAAAAAAAUCCUAUCAAAAAAAAACAACACUAGAGAACUAUCGGUGCUACCUAAAAAACCUAAGUAAAAAAAAGUUUGGGAGGGGGGGGAGCUUGAGGAAAGAAAAGAUCUUCUUUUCGUCCCCUCUUUUUCCCCUCCCCCCCUCUCUUUUUUUCGCUCUCUAUUUUCAACCCCUUCAACCUUUUUCUUUUCUUUCCUUUCUUUUUUUCUAAAAAAAAAAGGUAAGAGAAUACCAAACAAAAAACUAUAAAACAAAAACAAAAACUAAAAUACAACUCUUAACAAUGGAUAUCUUGGUUCUCGC
rnacentral:misc_RNA from 1 species